UGAUUACACCUGUUCCCAUACGAUCACCAAAGUUAAGCAAUGUUGAGCCUGAACUCUAUCUAGAUGGGUGACCACUUGGGAAUACCAGGUGUUGUAAG